CAAAUCCAGGCGGGCACGGGGCCAGCCCAGGUGCACGCAGCAUAACAUGGGGUGUCCCCAAAGUCAGACCACCCACGUGUGUGGCUGCUCAGCCAGUCACAGGUGGUGGAAUUUGGGGCCGGUGUCUGCUGUCUCAGUGUCGGUGGAACGGGGUCAGGCCAGGCCCAGCCCGCACUCCCCUGCAGAGGUCAGCUGGUCCCGGCCACGGAGCCUGGCGGGUUUGCUGCUGGCUGUGAUCAUGAUCAAUGCAUUGAUGGGAAUGUGAAGAGUUAUGGAAAUUCCACUUUGUUUUUUAAAGAAACAGCAUCGGUCACCCAUAGUCCACCGCUGCCAGCGUUUCUGCACACUCCAGCUCCCCGUCAUGGGGCUUUACCAUGUCGAGGGCACCUCACACUGCUCCUUGGCACCAUGGCACCCCACUUCCCUGGGGCUCUCAUUGUCAGCGGUUUCAUUGUAUCCCCCAGAGUGUGAGCUGCAGAGGAGGGGGCAUGUUCUGUCCCCACCUGCCUGUCACUUCCACCCGCGUUGGGUUUUUUGUGUGUUUCUGUCCUGAUGCAGCCUGCUUGAACCACCUCACAAACAAUAAACCCGUGUUUGGUCUCAGGGCUGUGGGACCCCCUGAGGAUGGGAGGAGCCAUCGAGGUUUGCCGGGCUCAGUGGGUGCUGGAGCAGCUGGCCCCCGCCAGGCCUGACUCAGUGUGACUUGAGGCCAUCGACCCUCUGUCCUGCUACCCAAACCCAGUGUCCACCCCAUAGCUCCCACCACACAGGAUGAUCCCAAG
rnacentral:lncRNA from 1 species